AUUGAACGCUGGCGGAAUGCUUUACACAUGCAAGUCGAACGGCAGCACGGGGCAACCUGGUGGCGAGUGGCGAACGGGUGAGUAAUACAUCGGAACGUGCCCAAUCGUGGGGGAUAACGUAGCGAAAGUUACGCUAAUACCGCAUACGAUCUACGGAUGAAAGCGGGGGAUCGCAAGACCUCGCGCGAAUGGAGCGGCCGAUGUCAGAUUAGGUAGUUGGUGGGGUAAAGGCUCACCAAGCCAACGAUCUGUAGCUGGUCUGAGAGGACGACCAGCCACACUGGAACUGAGACACGGUCCAGACUCCUACGGGAGGCAGCAGUAAGGAAUAUUGCUCAAUGGCCGAAAGGCUGAAGCAGCAACGCCGCGUGGAGGAUGAAAUACUUUAGUAUGUAAACUCCUGUAAGAGGGGAAAAAUAUACAGCUAUGCUGUGUUGAUUGUACCCUCAGAGUAAGCACCGGCUAACUACGUGCCAGCAGCCGCGGUAAU
rnacentral:rRNA from 1 species